UACGAAGGGGGCUAGCGUUGCUCGGAAUCACUGGGCGUAAAGGGUGCGUAGGCGGGUCUUUAAGUCAGGGGUGAAUCCUGGAGCUCAACUCCAGAACUGCCUUUGAUACUGAAGAUCUUGAGUUCGGGAGAGGUGAGUGGAACUGCGAGUGUAGAGGUGAAUUCGUGAGAUAUUCGCAAGAACACCAGUGGCGGAAGGCGGCUCACUGGCCCGAUACUGACGGCUGAGGCACGAAAGCGUGGGGAGCAAACAGGG
rnacentral:rRNA from 1 species